rnacentral:rRNA from 1 species
AGCAGCCGCGGUAAUUCCAGCUCCAAUAGCGUAUAUUAAAGUUGUUGCAGUUAAAAAGCUCGUAGUUGAAUUUCGGGGUCAGUAGGUUGGUCAUGCCACUGGUAUGUACUGGUCUCACUGAUUCCUCCUUCCUGAUGAGCCGUAAUGCCAUUAAUUUGGUGUUGCGAGGAAUCUGGACUGUUACUUUGAAAAAUUAGAGUGUUUAAAGCAGGCUAACGCUUGAAUACAUUAGCAUGGAAUAAUGAAAUAGGACGUUCGAUCUUAUUUUGUUGGUUUCUAAGAUUGACGUAAUGAUUAAUAGGGAUAGUUGGGGGCAUUAGUAUUCAAUUGUCAGAGGUGAAAUUCUUGGAUUUAUUGAAGACUAACUACUGCGAAAGCAUUUGCCAAGGAUGUUUUCAUUAAUCAAGAACGAAAGUUAGGGGAUCGAAGACGAUCAGAUACCGUCGUAGUCUUAACCAUAAACUAUGCCGACUAGGGAUCGGAUGAUGUUAAUUUUUAAUGACUCAUUC